GAUGAAGAACGUAGCGAAAUGCGAUAAGUAAUGUGAAUUGCAGAAUUCAGUGAAUCAUCGAAUCUUUGAACGCACAUUGCGCCCGCCAGUAUUCUGGCGGACAUGCCUGUUCGAGCGUCAUUUCAACCAUCAAGCCCUGCUUGCGUUGGGGUCCUGCGGCUGCCCGCAGGCCCUGAAAACCAGUGGCGGGCUCGCUAGUCACACCGAGCGCAGUAAUACAUCUCGCUUUGGGCGUGCGGCGGGUUCUUGCCGUUAAACACCCCCUUUUUACCAAGGUUGACCUCGGAUCAGGUAGGAAUACCCGCUGAACUUAAGCAUAUCAAUAAGCGGAGGA
rnacentral:misc_RNA from 1 species